UCAACUUAAGAGUUUGAUCCUGGCUCAGAAUGAACGCUGGCGGCAUGCCUAACACAUGCAAGUCGAACGAAGGCCCUAGCUUGCUAGGUGUCCUUAGUGGCGGACGGGUGAGUAACGCGUGGGAACCUGCCUUUGAGUGGGGAAUAACAGUUGGAAACGGCUGCUAAUACCGCAUACGUCCUUCGGGAGAAAGGCUUCGGCCGCUCUUAGAUGGUCCCGCGUCUGAUUAGCUUGUUGGUGGGGUAAUGGCUCACCAAGGCGACGAUCAGUAGCUGGUUUGAGAGGAUGAUCAGCCACACUGGGACUGAGACACGGCCCAGACUCCUACGGGAGGCAGCAGUGGGGAAUAUUGGACAAUGGGGGAAACCCUGAUCCAGCAAUGCCGCGUGAGUGAAGAAGGCCUUAGGGUUGUAAAGCUC
rnacentral:rRNA from 1 species